rnacentral:rRNA from 1 species
UUAAGCGUGUAGGCUGGUUUUCCAGGCAAAUCCGGAAAAUCAAGGCUGAGGCGUGAUGACGAGGCACUACGGUGCUGAAGCAACAAAUGCCCUGCUUCCAGGAAAAGCCUCUAAGCAUCAGGUAACAUCAAAUCGUACCCCAAACCGACACAGGUGGUCAGGUAGAGAAUACCAAGGCGCUUGAGAGAACUCGGGUGAAGGAACUAGGCAAAAUGGUGCCGUAACUUCGGGAGAAGG